rnacentral:rRNA from 1 species
UACGGGAGGCAGCAGGGGGGAAUAUUGCACAAUGGGCGCAAGCCUGAUGCAGCCAUGCCGCGUGUAUGAAAAAGGCCUUCGGGUUGUAAAGUACUUUCAGUCGUGAGGAAGGUGUUAAGGUUAAUAACCUUAGCAAUUGACGUUAGCGACAGAAGAAGCACCGGCUAACUCCGUGCCAGCAGCCGCGGUAAUACGGAGGGUGCGAGCGUUAAUCGGAAUUACUGGGCGUAAAGGGCACGCAGGCGGUUAAUUAAGUUGGAUGUGAAAUCCCCGGGCUUAACCUGGGAAUGGCAUUCAAGACUGGUUAGCUAGAGUCUUGUAGAGGGGGUAGAUUCCAUGUGUAGCGGUGAAAUGCGUAGAGAUGUGGAGGAUACCGGUGGCGAAGGCGGCCCCUGGACAAAGACUGACGCUCAUGUGCGAAAGCGUGGGGAGCAAACAGGGAUUAGAUACC